AGGCUAUCACUGGCUCGGCCAGCAUUUAUUGCUGCGUUUACCCAGUGGGCAGUUAAGAAUCAACCACGUUGCUAUAGGUCUGGAGUCCCAUGCAGACCAGACCAGAUCCCAGUGAUCAGUGCCAAAGCCCCAUUGCCUGUGGAGAGGGUGAUGUUUGAUUUCCCUGUCCAGCUGCAAUUCGUGUGGUGAAGGUGCUCCCACAAUGUGGUUGGAUAACAAGACCGAUGCUGUUUCCAAUCAUGAUCAGAAACAAACCUCAGAAUACACAUGGUUCAUAGAUGGAUGUCAAUAGCCCAUCAACAUCCAACUCCUGCAAUUAUUCAGCAAAUGUAUGUGUGAUUAACCAGUCCUGAUGUCAGUCCUGAUGUACCAGAAAAUCGCUGUUUACUCUGUGCAGAUGGGCAGUGAUGUGGGGAAGUAUUGGCCGAGUGAUAUUGUCGCUGGACAGUUAGUCCAAAGCCCCAGAUAAACUUCUGGAGACCUGAGUUCAAAGCCUACUGCUGCAGAUGGGUGAAUUUGAAUUAAAUUUUUAAAAACUCGGGAAUUUAAGAGUCUCAUGAUGACCAUUAAUCGAUUUUCCGAAAAACCCAUCUGGAUCACUAAUGCCCUUUCAGGAAGGAAGCUGCCAUCCUUACCUGGUCUGGCCUACAUUGUGACUUCAGACCCACAACAAUGUGGUCGACUCUUACCUGCCCCCUGGGCAAUUAGGGAUGGGCAGGAAAUGCUGCCGGGCCAGCGACACCCUCAUCUUGUGAAUGAAUAAAGGAAAAUAAAAGUCUCUACCCAGUGUGAA